CCUACGGGUGGCAGCAGUGGGGAAUAUUGGACAAUGGGCGAAAGCCUGAUCCAGCCAUGCCGCGUGUGUGAAGAAGGCCUUCGGGUUGUAAAGCACUUUCAGUGGGGAAGAAAGCCUUGGGGCUAAUACCCUCGAGGAAGGACAUCACCCACAGAAGAAGCACCGGCUAACUCCGUGCCAGCAGCCGCGGUAAUACGGAGGGGUGCGAGCGUUAAUCGGAAUUACUGGGCGUAAAGCGCGCGUAGGCGGUCUGAUAAGCCGGUUGUGAAAGCCCCGGGCUCAACCUGGGAACGGCAUCCGGAACUGUCAGGCUAGAGUGCAGGAGAGGAAGGUAGAUUUCCCGGUGUAGCGGUGAAAUGCGUAGAGAUCGGGAGGAAUACCAGUGGCGAAGGCGGCCUUCUGGACUGACACUGACGCUGAGGUGCGAAAGCGUGGGUAGCAAACAGGAUUAGAUACCCGGUAGUC
rnacentral:rRNA from 1 species